rnacentral:rRNA from 1 species
UAGGGAAUUUUGCGCAAUGGGGGAAACCCUGACGCAGCAACACCGCGUGAAUGUUAAGCCCUUCGGGGUGUAAAGUUCUGUCAGUGGGGACGAAAUAUGACUGUACCCACAAAGGAAGCACCGGCUAACUCCGUGCCAGCAGCCGCGGUAAUACGGGGGGUGCAAGCGUUGUCCGGAAUCAUUGGGCGUAAAGCGUUCGUAGGCGGUACUGCAAGUCUGGAGUGAAAUGCGGGGGCUCAACCCCCGAACUGCUUUGGAAACUGUGAUACUGGAGUGCAGGAGAGGUAAGCGGAAUUCCUAGUGUAGCGGUGAAAUGCGUAGAUAUUAGGAGGAACACCGGUGGCGAAGGCGGCUUACUGGACUGUAACUGACGCUGAUGCUCGAAAGUGUGGGUAUCAAGCA